ACCUACGGGUGGCAGCAGUGAGGAAUAUUGGGCAAUGCCCGCAAGGGUGACCCAGCAACGCCGCGUGGAGGAUGAAAGCCGUAAGGUUGUAAACUCCUGUGAGAAGGGACGAAAGAUUAGGUUUCGUAAGGGAUCUAAGUUGACUGUACCUUCAGAGGAAGCCCCGGCUAACUACGUGCCAGCAGCCGCGGUAAUACGUAGGGGGCAAGCGUUGUCCGGAUUUACUGGGUGUAAAGGGCGCGUAGGCGGGUUUGUAAGUCAGAGGUGAAAUCCUGCAGCUUAACUGCAGAACUGCCUUUGAUACUGCAAAUCUUGAGUUCAGAAGAGAGAAGCGGAAUUCCAGGUGUAGGGGUGAAAUACGUAGAUAUCUGGAAGAACACCAGCUGCGAAGGCGGCUUCUUGGUCUGUAACUGACGCUCAGGCGCGAAAGCGUGGGUAGCAAACAGGAUUAGAUACCCGAGUAGUCUU
rnacentral:rRNA from 1 species